GGAGGUAUAGCUCAAGUGAGAGAGGGCAUGCUUAGCAUGCACUAGGUCCUGGGUUCAAUCCCCAGUACCUCCU
rnacentral:tRNA from 1 species